UACGGAUCUCUAGCUUCUGAAGCAAGCGCGCUAACCACUGCGCUACAGCUGCUCUUUUGGAAUAUUGAUUUAUUUUAGGAUAGCGUAAUUUAUUUUUCUGAAAAAAAUUAAUUUUGAAGAUUUCAUGAAGGGGUUCAUGAAGGCAAGUAUAUUGGGAUGAUUUUGUAAAAAUGGCGUAAAUUUUGCUGCCAAAUACUAUUUUCUUAAACUUAAAAAUUAACUUUAGUAUAUUAUUUUAUUGUAAUAAUUUGAGUAUUGAGGAUUUACCUAAUGUGCAAAUAAAAACAAACAAUUGAUUGCAGAUUUUGGUAAUUAAUAAAAAUUCGGAAAAACUGGUCACUUUUUGAUUUAUUCCAUAAACCAUUCUUGGUAAUAUAUGACACUUGAGCUUUUAUUUUUACGUUUAAGGUUGAUUCAAAACUUAUAUGAUAAGUUUAACAUUUAAAGUAAAAAUAAAAUUAAACAAUUUACAUUUAGUUUAACAGUUUAGUUGGUUAGUCGGGUAUUUGAUACAAUUUAGUCGGGUAAAUAUUAGUUUUGAGGACCUUUGUUGUUUUUUUUUAUACUUUUUAAAAAUUCACCCCCCCUCCCUUUGUAGAAUUGCCUCUGCUGGUUAUACAACGUGUUCAUUACCUCUUCUCUACGAUUUCUCUACGAUAGUUUUCAAGCCUUUGACACGAACGUCUAAUGCAUGUGGUUGUCCUAUUUGGUAAAUUGAAAAGCUUAAACUUAGUGAAAAGCAUCCUUUAAGACUAUUUAAUAUAAAUCUUAAAAAUAGCAUAUAUUCCAAACCUAAAACUUUAUAAAUACUUCUUUUCCAUCAACAGAAAAAAGAUGUACGCAUUGUUUGUCUAUGACAAACAAUGCGUACAUGCUCGAAGCCCUCAUCGUUCCUGUACAAUCGUAACAAGAUACCAAAACUUGGAUGAUUUGUUCAAGGAAGAUCAAGUUGGAGCAGAGCAAAUUGUAUCUGCAUUGUUAAAGGGAAAAGUUUUUUCUCCGAGAGAAAAAAGUAUUGUUUAGCCAAGCAAAAGGAGAAAGAUUAUUUCCAGUAAUACCAGUUUACGUUUAUGACAAAUGUACCUAAAAAGUCAAUACUUGUAGCUGCUAAAGCACGAAUUAAUUAAAUUAAACGUGCAGCUCAAAGAUGCACUGUUUGCAGCUGUAGGAAAAAAAUGCUUGUCAACUCUACUUUUAAAUGCGUCAGUUGACGAAGCCUUUUUGCAUGACAACGGUAAAUAAUUCCAAUCAUUCACAAUACGAUUUGUGAAGAAAAUAUGUCGAGCAUUAUUGUAAGUGAAAUCACGCGUUAGUACGUUGGAUGGUGAUCUGCAAAGAUGUGGAUUAUGCCAACUAAUAAUUUCAAAACUGUUUUCAAGUUUUAACUGUUGGAUCAAGUUGCCUGCGAGUUUCCAAUGAAGUAAAAUUGAGACGCCAACACCUUUCAGCAUAAGUAUUGCCUAAAUUGUUAAAACUUCAACAUGCGGAUGGUCAAGUUAAAACUUAAUGAUCGUGGACUUUCCAACUUUUACAAGCUCUACAAUGCUGUAACCAAAGCAGAGCAUUUUACAGAGAACGAUUUCCAGAAAAACCAUUUUAAAAACUCAGCUCACAAUUUGUAUAGUUCGUAUGAGCACAUUAAUUUAAGCAGUUUUGACGAAGCGAUCGACGAUUCUGAAGAAAAUUAUAGUUAUUUUUCUAAAACGUUUUUACAACCACGUUUUCUGACUCGGCUGCCGUCUAAUUUAUCAACCCAUUCGGGUGAAAAGCUAGAAGUUGUAUGUUUAGCAAACGUGCUAUUUCCAUCCGAUAUUGAAUGGUUUUUAAAUGAUGUGUUGCUAACUAGUUCAACCGAUGACAGAAUAAUUAUAGAAAAUAACUCCAGUAAACUAACCAUAUCAUCAGUUAAAAAAACUGAUUGUGGAAAAUUAGCUUGUAUUGCUAAAAACAGGUUUGGUUCAGACAUUUCAAUCUGCAAAAUAUCUGUAGAAGAUCUUAAGUAAGAACAUUGCGUUAGCCUAUUAUUAAUUUGCUUGGUUUCAAUGAGUUAAAAAAAAAAUUAAUAUAAGUACUUGUAUAUGAAGAAUGUAAAAAUGACAGAAAAUUGUGUUUAACAUAGGUAAAA